rnacentral:rRNA from 1 species
AUUGAACGCUGGCGGCAGGCUUAACACAUGCAAGUCGAGCGGGGUGAUGGUGCUUGCACUAUCACUUAGCGGCGGACGGGUGAGUAAUGCUUAGGAAUCUGCCUAUUAGUGGGGGACAACAUCUCGAAAGGGAUGCUAAUACCACAUACGUCCUACGGGAGAAAGCAGGGGAUCACUUGUGACCUUGCGCUAAUAGAUGAGCCUAAGUCGGAUUAGCUAGUUGGUGGGGUAAAGGCCUACUAAGGCGACGAUCUGUAGCGGGUCUGAGAGGAUAAUCAGCCACACUGGGAAUGAGACACAGCCCAGGCUCCUCCGGGAGGCAGCAGUGGGAAAUAUUGGACAAUGGGGGGAACCCUGAUCUAGCCAUGCCGCGUGUGUGAAGAAGGCCUUAUGGUUGUAAAGCACUUUAAGCGAGGAGGAGGCUCUUUUGGUUAAUACCCAAGAUGAGUGGACGUUACUCGCAGAAUAAGCACCGGCUAACUCUGUGCCAGCAGCCGCCGUAA